ACGAACGCUGGCGGCGUGCCUAAUACAUGCAAGUAGAACGCUGAAGAGAGGAGCUUGCUCUUCUUGGAUGAGUUGCGAACGGGUGAGUAACGCGUAGGUAACCUGCCUUGUAGCGGGGGAUAACUAUUGGAAACGAUAGCUAAUACCGCAUAACAAUGGAUGACACAUGUCAUUUAUUUGAAAGGGGCAAUUGCUCCACUACAAGAUGGACCUGCGUUGUAUUAGCUAGUAGGUGAGGUAACGGCUCACCUAGGCGACGAUACAUAGCCGACCUGAGAGGGUGAUCGGCCACACUGGGACUGAGACACGGCCCAGACUCCUACGGGAGGCAGCAGUAGGGAAUCUUCGGCAAUGGGGGCAACCCUGACCGAGCAACGCCGCGUGAGUGAAGAAGGUUUUCGGAUCGUAAAGCUCUGUUGUAAGUCAAGAACGAGUGUGAGAGUGGAAAGUUCACACUGUGACGGUAGCUUACCAGAAAGGGACGGCUAACUACGUGCCAGCAGCCGCGGUAAUACGUAGGUCCCGAGCGUUGUCCGGAUUUAUUGGGCGUAAAGCGAGCGCAGGCGGUUUGAUAAGUCUGAAGUUAAAGGCUGUGGCUCAACCAUAGUUCGCUUUGGAAACUGUCAAACUUGAGUGCAGAAGGGGAGAGUGGAAUUCCAUGUGUAGCGGUGAAAUGCGUAGAUAUAUGGAGGAACACCGGUGGCGAAAGCGGCUCUCUGGUCUGUAACUGACGCUGAGGCUCGAAAGCGUGGGGAGCGAACAGGAUUAGAUACCCUGGUAGUCCACGCCGUAAACGAUGAGUGCUAGGUGUUGGAUCCUUUCCGGGAUUCAGUGCCGCAGCUAACGCAUUAAGCACUCCGCCUGGGGAGUACGACCGCAAGGUUGAAACUCAAAGGAAUUGACGGGGGCCCGCACAAGCGGUGGAGCAUGUGGUUUAAUUCGAAGCAACGCGAAGAACCUUACCAGGUCUUGACAUCCCGAUGCUAUUUCUAGAGAUAGAAAGUUACUUCGGUACAUCGGUGACAGGUGGUGCAUGGUUGUCGUCAGCUCGUGUCGUGAGAUGUUGGGUUGAGUCCCGCAACGAGCGCAACCCCUAUUGUUAGUUGCCAUCAUUCAGUUGGGCACUCUAGCGAGACUGCCGGUAAUAAACCGGAGGAAGGUGGGGAUGACGUCAAAUCAUCAUGCCCCUUAUGACCUGGGCUACACACGUGCUACAAUGGUUGGUACAACGAGUUGCGAGUCGGUGACGGCAAGCUAAUCUCUUAAAGCCAAUCUCAGUUCGGAUUGUAGGCUGCAACUCGCCUACAUGAAGUCGGAAUCGCUAGUAAUCGCGGAUCAGCACGCCGCGGUGAAUACGUUCCCGGGCCUUGUACACACCGCCCGUCACACCACGAGAGUUUGUAACACCCGAAGUCGGUGAGGUAACCUUUUGGAGCCAGCCGCCUAAGGUGGGAUAGAUGAUUGGGGUG
rnacentral:rRNA from 1 species